rnacentral:rRNA from 1 species
UGAGGAAUAUUGGUCAAUGGACGAGAGUCUGAACCAGCCAAGUAGCGUGCAGGAUGACGGCCCUAUGGGUUGUAAACUGCUUUUGUUUGGGAAUAAUCGACAUUACGUGUAAUGUUUUGCAUGUACCAUUCGAAUAAGGACCGGCUAAUUCCGUGCCAGCAGCCGCGGUAAUACGGAAGGUCCAGGCGUUAUCCGGAUUUAUUGGGUUUAAAGGGAGUGUAGGCGGUUGGUUAAGCGUGUUUUGAAAUGUAGAUGCUCAACAUCUGACUUGCAGCGCGAACUGGCUGACUUGAGUACACACAACGUAGGCGGAAUUCAUGGUGUAGCGGUGAAAUGCUUAGAUAUCAUGAAGAACUCCGAUUGCGAAGGCAGCUUACGGGAGUGUUACUGACGCUUAAGCUCGAAGGUGCGAGUAUCGAACAGG